rnacentral:rRNA from 1 species
CCUACGGGUGGCUGCAGUGGGGAAUAUUGCACAAUGGGCGCAAGCCUGAUGCAGCCAUGCCGCGUGUGUGAAGAAGGCCUUCGGGUUGUAAAGCACUUUCAGCGGGGAGGAAGGCGGUGAGGUUAAUAACCUCAUCGAUUGACGUUACCCGCAGAAGAAGCACCGGCUAACUCCGUGCCAGCAGCCGCGGUAAUACGGAGGGUGCAAGCGUUAAUCGGAAUUACUGGGCGUAAAGCGCACGCAGGCGGUCUGUCAAGUCGGAUAUGAAAUCCCCGGGCUCAACCUGGGAACUGCAUUCGAAACUGGCAGGCUAGAGUCUUGUAGAGGGGGGUAGAAUUCCAGGUGUAGCGGUGAAAUGCGUAGAGAUCUGGAGGAAUACCGGUGGCGAAGGCGGCCCCCUGGACAAAGACUGACGCUCAGGUGCGAAAGCGUGGGGAGCAAACAGGAUUAGAUACCCCUGUAGUC